CUUUUUCGUUCUCUUCUCCCCUGCUCUCUGAGUCUCUUCAAACUCCCCCACUCCCACCCCCAAUCCACUUCGUCCUAAAGUGCAAAUAUGAUCCUGAAAGUGGAGAAAAUCGGGUCAAGAUUGCUCACAUCCCAAAUAUAUCCCUAUCAGAUUGAUCCCCUCGAAAGGGGAUUCUUGCAGCAAUCUCUCCUUUCUCCUGAUGACCAUGUCGAAGGGAGCAGGUAGAUUUGCUGGGAAAGUUAUUUCAAGGCAUGGUAGAGAUUACUUUGUUUCUGCCUUCAUAUGAGAGUUUUUCCUACAUUUACUAUAAGGUUGGUGAUGGAUUAAUAUAAUAUGGCUUGAGGCUAUUAAAAGUGCAAUAAGGUAAUAGGAGGUUGGAUAUGAAUUGGUGUGUGUGAGGAGUUUUUUU